rnacentral:rRNA from 1 species
AGUAAAAGUCGUAACAAGGUUUCCGUAGGUGAACCUUCGGAAGGAUCAUUACCGUAACGCGGCGGUCCGGCAACCGCAAGGAAGUCGGCCGCCACACGCGUUUAUCGCCCUUGACUUUGAGCACCUUUCGUUUCCUCGGCGGGUUCGCCCGCCAGCGAGGACCCCCAUAAACCCUUUGUAAUAGCAAUAUUUGUCUGAAAAACAACCAAUAAUCAAAACUUUCAACAAUGGAUCUCUUGGUUCUGGCAUCGAUGAGGAACGCAGCGAAAUGCGAUAAGUAGUGUGAAUUGCAGAAUUCAGUGAAUCAUCGAAUCUUUGAACGCACAUUGCGCCCCUCGGUAUUCCGUGGGGCAUGCCUGUUCGAGCGUCAUUUAACCCCUCAAGCCUAGCUUGGUAUUGGGUGCUUGUCCCGCCUCUCGCGCGGCGACUCACCUCAAAGUCAUUGGCAGCCUGCAUCUCGCCGGCCGUGAGCGCAGCACAGACGCGCUCUUGGCAACGACGGAUCGGCUCUCCAAAAGCUUAUUUCAACCACUGACCUCGGAUCAGGUAGGGAUACCCGCUGAACUUAAGCAUAUCAAUAAGCGGAGGAAAAGAAACCAACAGGGAUUGCCUUAGUAACG